rnacentral:rRNA from 1 species
GACAUCCACGGAACUUAGCAGAGAUGCUUUGGUGCCUUCGGGAACCGUGAGACAGGUGCUGCAUGGCUGUCGUCAGCUCGUGUUGUGAAAUGUUGGGUUAAGUCCCGCAACGAGCGCAACCCUUAUCCUUUGUUGCCAGCGGUCCGGCCGGGAACUCAAAGGAGACUGCCAGUGAUAAACUGGAGGAAGGUGGGGAUGACGUCAAGUCAUCAUGGCCCUUACGAGUAGGGCUACACACGUGCUACAAUGGCAUAUACAAAGAGAAGCGACCUCGCGAGAGCAAGCGGACCUCAUAAAGUAUGUCGUAGUCCGGAUUGGAGUCUGCAACUCGACUCCAUGAAGUCGGAAUCGCUAGUAAUCGUGGAUCAGAAUGCCACGGUGAAUACGUUCCCGGGCCUUGUACACACCGCCCGUCACACCAUGGGAGUGGGUUGCAAAAGAAGUAGGUAGCUUAACCUUCGGGAGGGCGCUUACCACUUUGUGAUUCAUGACUAGGGUGAAGUCGUAACAAGGUAGGCGUACGUGU